GACGAACGCUGGCGGCGUGCUUAACACAUGCAAGUCGAACGAUGAAGCUAGAGCUUGCUCUGGUGAAUUAGUGGCGAACGGGCGAGUAACACGUGAGUAACCUGCCCCGAACUCUGGGAUAACUGCUGGAAACGGUAGCUAAUACUGGAUACGACCUACGAAGGCAUCUUCUGUAGGUGGAAAGAAUUUCGGUUCGGGAUGGACUCGCGGCCUAUCAGCUUGUUGGUGAGGUAAUGGCUCACCAAGGCGACGACGGGUAGCCGGCCUGAGAGGGUGACCGGCCACACUGGGAGUGAGACACGGCCCAGACUCCUACGGGAGGCAGCAGUGGGGAAGAUUGCACAAUGGGCGCAAGCCUGAUGCAGCAACGCCGCGUGAGGGAUGACGGCCGUCGGGUUGUAAACCUCUUUUAGUAGGGAAGAAGCGAAAGUGACGGUACCUGCAGAAAAAGCACCGGCUAACUACGUGCCAGCCGCCGCAGUAA
rnacentral:rRNA from 1 species